rnacentral:lncRNA from 1 species
CAUAGAUGGUAUUACAGGCGGCUGGUCUCUCCUCUCUCAGCCAACUAUGAGAACUAUUUGGGAUUGAAGGAGAUAAGCUACAGCAAGUCGUUACUUGUCCUGAAUGCACGACCUUCUUUCUUUGAGCAAGAGGACAAACCUGGGUAGGGAUCUCUAUGAUGUUUUCUGCGUUGCCCGUGGACGUUCAUCUUUCUGAUUUGUUAGCUGAAGAUGAGGAUCUGGAGCAGGAGCUCGGAGUGCCAUUGUUCCAUGGGCAGAUGUGCAGCAGAGAUUUCCUAGGCCGCUAAGACGUCAGGGGAGCUGAUACACACUUCCAAGAACACGGAGACAUCAAAGGGAGCUGAGAGUCCACAGCGGCAGCAAAACAGGUGCUGCUUCACAUGCCCUUUGCUAAGAGUCCUGGAGUUUGAAGUCUCCACGGCCGAUCUAAAAGCAAGUUCCUGAGGAAGGAGCCGGAAAGUUCUCUGAAACCAGUAGUGGAAGCUAGUCUCUAAUAAAACAAAAUGUUACCACGCUUCUGGAAAGAUUCCACACAUCAAACAUUGAAUAAAAAGGACAAUUCGAUUAACUGAGGCUGAUUUCUUUUGACAAAUUGACUUUGAAAAGGAAUUCAGAGCAAUAAAAAGGCCACGCCCUGACUUGAAAGCUUUAGCUGCUGGAGGGAGAAUUCACAACGCAUUUGCAAGGGGCUGCCGUAAUCAACAUGUUUGUAAAACAGGAUGAAGGACUGCCCAUAAAUUUCAAACCCAAAUGAGCAGAAAAGCACACAAAGGAGAAAAUGAUCAAUUCAAGGCCCAAAUGCCGGCGUCGUGUAAAACGUAACUCAUUGAACACACACGCGGUUGGCCCGUGUUGAACAUGCGUGACACAGCCCCGUGCAGUGGCUCACACCUGUAAUCCCAGCACUGUGGGAGCCUGAGGUGGGCAGAUCACUUGAGCUCAGGAGUUCGAACCAGCCUGGUCAACAUGGUGAAACCCCAUCUCUACUAAAAAUACAAAAAUGAGGCUGGUGUGGUGGCGUGCACCUGUAACCCCAGCUAUUCAGGGGGUUGAGGCAUGAGAAUUGCUUCAACCUGAAAGGUGUGGGUUGCAGUGAGCUCAGAUCGUGCCACUGCACUCCAGCCUGGGUGACAGAGUGAGACUCUGUGGAAAAAAAAGGAAAG